CAGUUGAUCAUUAUUCACCCUGUAUGAAAAUGAUACGACCUAAAAGUUUAACUGAGUAGUACAGUAUUUUGCCAACCAUGCCUUUGAUAUUUGAAAUUCUGCUAUUGUCUCGUUUUAAAAGUUUUCUAAAGCCGGAGGUGGGUUGCUGGAAAACAAUGCGGUGUUUGCUGCAGGCUGAGAGGAGGACUGCGAUGUACUACCACC